GUGGUUUCUGAAAACCAUAUGAUCGUGGCAUCUAACAGCGUUUUCUUUCGCUUUUGGGCACCCCCAAACGUUCAAGAUCAAUAUAAGGAAUGUCGAACUUUAUACAGAGAUCUUUUUCAAUGUGCCCCCUUAUAAAAAAUAACGUCUUUAAUGGACUUCAGGACCUGCAUUUCAAAUGGAAGCUGACGAUAUUCGUACCAAAUGGUUGUCGGGGUCUCGGGCUGGGCUGCAUACUCAAUUCUCAGACUAUGCAGUCUCCGCUGGAAAUUGAUUGUUUUCUUCUCGGCCGGUGAAAGCCGAUAGUAUUUAUGGUCUGGAUUAGUUGUAAAAAAUAAUACGCAACAAAGUCAUCUCC
rnacentral:lncRNA from 1 species